AUAUAGACGGUUAUCUAUGAAAUCUAUUC
rnacentral:rRNA from 1 species